rnacentral:tRNA from 1 species
UGGGAGAUCGUCUAAUGGUAGGACACGUCCCUCUGGAGGACGUUAUCUUGGUUCGAGUCCAAGCCUCCCAG